rnacentral:rRNA from 1 species
UACAUGGGGUGCAAACGUUGCUCGGAAUUAUUGGGCGUAAAGCGCGCGUAGGCGGCUACUUAAGUCGGAUGUGAAAGCCCUCGGCUUAACUGAGGAAGUGCAUCCGAAACUGAGUAGCUAGAGUACGAAAGAGGGUCGCGGAAUUCCCGGUGUAGAGGUGAAAUUCGUAGAUAUCGGGAGGAACACCGGUGGCGAAGGCGGCGACCUGGGUCGAGACUGACGCUGAUGCGCGAAAGCGUGGGGAGCAAACAGG